CCCAAGGCACAUCCUCCAAUUUUUCUUACAUGGUGUCUUCUCCUUUUGUUGAGUUGUGCUCAGUAUCCAAUGAGAAUCAGCUCACGGUUAUUCGCUUUCCCCAGGCUAAACCAUUCAUAAUCUCUCUCUUCUUGCAUAAAUAUAUUUCAAUGCACAUUUAAUAUCAUUUCCAAAAUGAGAACAUACAGUAACUCCAAACAAUACAUCAUAAAUUACUCUACAGGAAUGCACUAACGUAAAAUUGUAACAUGCAAAGUAAUCCUGCCAGAUCUAGCAUUCCACAUUCUACUAUGGGGGAGCAACAAGCUUCUUUUUCCCUAUAAGACUUCUAGCUCCAGAGUCUAUGGUUGUGGGGGAACGGGGAGAAAGAUUUCUGCUAUGUUGAGCAGCAUGGAGACGGUAGCAACAUUUGUUUCACUGCUCAACAUAUCCUACUAUUGUUCAGGUAGCAAGUACUUCUCUAGCCUUUGGAGUUGACUGCCCAACAUAGCUCUUCUAAAGGUCCUGAAGAUCUCAUGAUUCAUGAGGAUCACAGAGAACAUUCACUGUGGGCUCUGGAAUAAUUCUGCUUUGAGCUGGGAGACAGGAUGAAAGACGCCUCAAGAGAAUCAUGAUUUCAAGCAAGAAUGAACGUUCACUUUGUAAAUUGCUGGACCAAUAUCUCUUCCACUCAGUCAAGGGCCUUUUCAGAGAUAAAUUGCUAAAGGAGAGACUCUCAGCCUUGUCCAGAGCCAUCAGUCUUGUGAAGGCUUGACGAACAGAUCAUCUCACGGUAAGCCACCAACACAACUGAAAUCACCUUUUUUUCUUGUCUAUUCCCCGUUCCGCCUCCCUGUCAUUUCAAUAGAUUCACAGAAAACCUCAUUUUGAUAAUCCAGUCUGACCUCUUGCAUAAUAAAGGUCAUGGGAUUUUUCUGCUUUUGUCUCUUCUGCUUCUUUUCCCCCAAUCUGUUUUCUUUUCUCCAUAACUUUUCUUUUUCUUUGUUUUUUACUUGUUCUUUUUGUUGCACAGUUUGGUGCUUCCUCUACCUGUUGUCCACUGAGCUGAUGGUGACAAGCUGCUUGAGAUGCAGGUAUCCAUUGAUAGCUCCAAAAUCUGGCUCAUAUUUGUACUGUCAGUUUAUCGGAAUGCUACAGGAACAGGAGAGAGAGGCUUGGGGUAUUGGGCCGGGGUACAGCCUCAUACCAGAGAGUUGCUAUUGUGGCUAACUGUACUGGAGCCACUGCAAGCUGGAAGGAAAUGAAAGUGGCCUUCUAAGAGAUACUUGCAGCCACAUCAGUGAUGCAAUUUUUCUUUCACAUAUAGUGUUAUUUUCUGUGGUUUGAUUUCCCUAGAUGAGUCUGAGGACCUGUCUCCGCUACAGCCAGGAUUGUUACUGUGGUGAUUGAUACACUGGUGGUUGAUUUAGUAAGUCUAGUGAAGACCAGCUAAAUCGAUCACUGGUCACUUGGACAUUGAUUCUGGUACUCCACCAGAAUGAGAUGACUAAGUUGAGAGGAGUGUUUCUCCUAUUAACCCAACAUGGUAGUAUCCCCGCAGUAAGUAUAUUUAAGCUACUUCUGAGUUACACUACUAAUGUAACUCAAAUUGUGUAGCUUAGAUCAAUUUGAACCACUAGUGUAGACCUACCCAUGGCCCUAGCCCUCAGUAGGGGAUCAGUUGUGCCACAGCUCUGCGUAGGGGAGUCAUACUGCUCAAGGGAGAACGCCUGGGGAAAAAUUAAACUUCCUGCUACAUGUGGUAAUAGUCUUGCUGCUCUACUCUUUAAAGGGCGCAGCAUGCUCCCUCACUGGCCAGCAAGGCCUGCUGACUUGUGGAAUGGGAAGGAGUUGGGGCCAUGACCUCACCUCUUCACUCUAAUUGUCUUUGCAGUGUCACGUGCCCAAAGGGCUCUACAAAAGGGCAUUACUUAAGGUCUGGGCAAUGCAGGGGCUGUGCCGGCAUCCCACUACUGCUCAGGGGGUCUGCCUUCGCUCAGCAACCCUGAAUCAGCCUGCCACAAACUGACCUUAAGCCAGACCAAGAGUCAUCACCCUAUUCCCCUGGAAGACCAGCUUCCCAUACGAUGUUCUCCAGCUGCAGGACAUUAGAUCAGUGGCCUACUUUCAACGCAACCAAACGCAUUUUUUAGCUGAGAAGAGCACUGCUGGACAUACCAUCUUCUGCAGAGCACGGUAGAAAAGGAACCGAGAGAGACUUGUGCCACAUGCGCAGCUAACUGACAAAAAGAGCAUAAGAUGGCUGCUACACAGGUGCAGCGCAAGAAGGCACUGCUAGGCUAAAAAUCUCUGAUCGCUGGCACGAGGAUGCACUAAACAUCUGAGUGGAGCACGCACAGGGACACCACUUGAAGGAGAAUUAUACUUCAAAAUACACCUGCAAAUAAAAUAGCAGCAAUUUUCAUUCACAACUACAUUAUAGCUGUCUAAAAAAGAUCUGAGUUAUCUGUAGAGGGAUAGCUCUCUCCCAGCUGCUUAGAUGACACUCUGAUGAGAUAAGAAAGUACUCAAACUUGGUCUAACUCUACUCUCGUUAUUUUUCCAUAGAUUCAAGUUCCAAUAGUGAAUAUUUUUGAAAUUCUUGCCAAAAGCGUAUUUUUAAAAGUCCAAAAUAAAAAGCUGCAGGAUCAGAUCCUGUUCCCACUGAAAUCCAUGUUGUUGCUGCCACUGAUUGCAAUAAGCGCAGGGUCAGAUUAAUAUACUCUUAUGCCAGGAUAUUUCAAAGAACUUUACAAAAGAUGUAUAACAAAGUCAUUAUUGAGGCUUCAAGACUGACAACAUCCUUAAUAUCACUGAGUGGGAUUUCCAGAGAGAAAAUGUAUAAUGAUUAACGACCUGAUGCAACAACUCUCAUGCAUAAAAUCAUGCACGUGUAUACUGGCUUUGCUGGGGCCAAAACUAACAGUCACUGAAAAUGACAAGUUUCAUUAAAGAUGAGAUAAGAAAAUGAUUUCAGCUGACACUUUUGAGUGUAACUAAAGGUGUUACUAGAGCAGAGAAAAAUCUUGGAGCAGUGUUCUAUAGUAAAUUACUUUAUUUUAAA